rnacentral:rRNA from 1 species
CCUACGGGCGGCAGCAGUGAGGAAUAUUGGUCAAUGGACGCAAGUCUGAACCAGCCAAGUAGCGUGAAGGAUGACUGCCCUAUGGGUUGUAAACUUCUUUUAUGUGGGCAUAAAACACGGUAUGCAUACACUCUUGUAUGUACCAUAUGAAUAAGGCUCGGCUAAAUCCGUGCCAGCAGCCGCGUUAAUCCGGAGGGUCCGGGCGUUAACCGGAUUUAUUGGGUUUAAGGGGAGCGUAGGUGGAGUGUUAAGGCAGGUGUGAAAGGUUGCGGCUCAACCGUGAAAUUGCAGCUGAAACUGGCAGGCUUGAGUACAGUAGAGGUAGGCGGAAUUCGUGGUGUAGCGGUGAAAUGCUUAGAUAUCACGAAGAACUCCGAUGGCGAAGGCAGCUUACUGGACUGCAACUGACACUGAGGCUCGAAAGUGUGGGUAUCAAACAGGAUUAGAUACCCCAGUAGUC